rnacentral:rRNA from 1 species
CAGCAGCCGCGGGAAUACGAAGGGGGCUAGCGUUGUUCGGAAUUACUGGGCGUAAAGCGCACGUAGGCUGACAUUUAAGUCAGGGGUGAAAUCCCGGGGCUCAACCUCGGAACUGCCUUUGAUACUGGGUGUCUUGAGUGUGGAAGAGGUAAGUGGAAUUGCGAGUGUAGAGGUGAAAUUCGUAGAUAUUCGCAGGAACACCAGUGGCGAAGGCGGCUUACUGGUCCACAACUGACGCUGAGGUGCGAAAGCGUGGGGAGCAAACAGGAUUAGAUACCCGCGUAGUCCCUGUCUCUUAUAC